rnacentral:lncRNA from 1 species
GGAGGGAGAAUAGAAAACUCCCUGAGUCAGAGGGAAAGAUAGGUGGGGUCGACCAAAGACGUCUCCUCCACCACUACAUCCAACAAAGAAGGAUUGUUGAGGAAAGGCUUCAGUUUGUGCCCGUUCACCUUGAAGCUUUUAGUUGCAGAUGGACCUUGGAUUUCUACUGCACCAUAAGGAUAAACAUUCACUACAGGAAAUGCGCGGAUUACCGGCGGCCUUAUUCCGACGGCCUUAGAGCCCUCGGUAAUGCUCUGGUGAUUUUAAUUACCGACGGGCAUUGGGCCUUCGGUAAGUUGCGCGAUGAUUAAGACUCAAAAUUUGGGAUUCCUUCUCUCAAAUCGAUUUGGUCGACUAAAAAACCUAUCUCUGUCGACGAAACCCUAUUUCCCAGUCGCACAUUGUCGCACUGUCUUAGUUGCUCUCAGGCGCAUUGUCUCCCAUUUCUUCCUGCAUUGUCGUCCUUGAUUCAGUCGUGGUAGUGAGGCGGGACAACGGUUGCCAUUGAUGGUUUGAGGACUGUUGGUGACUGAGGCGGCGCAUUGGACGAUUUUCGAACGUUUGGAGCUUUUCUUGAGUGAUUCUCCUACAAGGGUGUUGGUGGACGACGAUUNGGGCAUUUUUUGCGGUUGUCGUGGAGUAGNGAGGGUGUUGCUGGUGGGAUUGCANUAAGGGUUAGUGUUCUUUUUUAUUUCUUGUUGCCAUUUUACUUUCGUUGCGUUUUUACUCUGAUUUCUUACAUAACUUUUAUUUUCCAGCACUUGUUUUUACAUUGAAUGAAUUGCAAUUGUAUUUU